rnacentral:rRNA from 1 species
GAAAUUCGCCUUCAUGAAGCCGGAAUUGCUAGUAAUGGCAGGUCAGCAUACUGCCGUGAAUACGUUCCCGGGCCUUGUACACACCGCCCGUCACACCAUGAGAGUUGGGGAUACCCAAAGCCCGUGAGCCCAACUAUAAAGAGGCAGCGGUCUAAGGUAGAAUCAAUGAUUGGGGUGAAGUCGUAACAAGGUACC